UAUCCCUAACCUGGGUACAGUUGCAUCGGGUUUGGUGGUGCCUGUCUCUUAUCAGCCAGAGGUAAAGUAACUCCUUGUUUACCCCACUUGGAUUUUGGUCUGCACCCGUAGCUGGUUCAUGCCCUGGAAACAUGC